rnacentral:lncRNA from 1 species
AUGUCAUCCUUUGUUUUAUCCUCCCUGGGAAGAAGAUGGGACUCUUUCUCUCCCACAGUGUACCACAGGAUACAUCAGGUCUUAUGUGGACUCCCCAGAUGGUCCUGGAUGCUCUGGUCAUCUUACCGCAAGUCUGUGGAACUUUCAGAUGACUCUUCUUCAAAUGCUUUAAUGGGCCACUUUUUGAAAGCACUAUUGACCACCUCUUUGAUGUGGAGUUUGCUGCAGGUAAGGAUUAAUUCAAAUGCUGAGUUGCCUUCAAGCUCAGAUUUUGUAAGAAUCUGUUUUACUUGCAUGACGCUCCAGCUUCUAAAAUUCUUAAUUGUUGUGCAUAAAAUAAGAAAAUAA